GAUGAAGAACGCAGCGAAAUGCGAUAAGUAGUGUGAAUUGCAGAAUUCAGUGAAUCAUCGAAUCUUUGAACGCACAUUGCGCCCUUUGGUAUUCCAAAGGGCAUGCCUGUUCGAGCGUCAUUUGUACCCUCAAGCUUUGCUUGGUGUUGGGCGUCUUGUCUCUAGCUUUGCUGGAGACUCGCCUUAAAGUAAUUGGCAGCCGGCCUACUGGUUUCGAGCGCAGCACAAGUCGCACUCUCUAUCAGCAAAGGUCUAGCAUCCACUAAGCCUUUUUUUCAACUUUUGACCUCGGAUCAGGUAGGGAUACCCGCUGAACUUAAGCAUAUCAAUAAGCGGAGGA
rnacentral:misc_RNA from 1 species